UGUCCUGUGUUUUUAUUUUCUUUUUCAGGAUCUAGUGGCAUAAACCAGAUUACAACAAAUGGGGAUAAUGAAGGAACUACGAAAAUUAUUGCACCUUCCCCAGUGAAAAGCUUUAAAAAUACGAAAAAUGAGAACAGUCCAGAAACCCAAAGAAGUAAAACAAGUGCACCAUGGGAGGAAAAUGGCCAGCAGAGUGGGCUGUAUAAUUCCCCCAGUGACCGCAAUAAAUCACCAAAGUUUCCUUAUUCUCGGCGACGGAACCCAUCGGGUGGCAGUGAGAACGAGUGUGGGCAGCCAGUCCGGAGGAGGAAAACCCAAAACAGUGGUGAAGAUUCGGAUUUAAAGCACAGGAGAAGGUAAAUAUAUACACGAUAGCAGUGAUGAAGUGACAGUGAAGGUACUGACGAUAUUUUAGUUCCCUGUAUCUCCUCCCUUCCUUCAUCUCC